UUUUGUCCUUCGGAAGCCUUGUAGAAGCCCAGUCCGCCCCGCGUUCGGGGCGGGCGACACCGGGGAUCUGACUGGAAGUUCAGGUGCAAACCUAAUGACCAGCAGCCGUUGGCGGACGACCCGCCCUACGGUUCACAGAUCAAAUACCGGUGGCCCAUGUCCCGGGUUAAAAUAUGACCGGCUCCGUCCGCGAAAGCGCACGGUUGAUGUGUUCCGUAGGUGAACCUGCGGAAGGAUCAUUAUCGGGAAUGCCCUCCGGGGCUGACCUUCAACCCUUUGUCGUUAUAACCUCGUUUCUUUGGCGGGUCCGCCCGCCAGGAGACCUCUCAAACCCAACCAUCAUUGUCCUCUGAAGCAAACGAUAAUAAAAUCAAAACUUUCAACAACGGAUCUCUUGGUUCUG
rnacentral:misc_RNA from 1 species